UACGUAGGGGGCAAGCGUUGUCCGGAUUUAUUGGGCUUAAAGAGCGUGUAGGCGGCCAUGUAGGUCCGUUGUGAAAACUCGAGGCUCAACCUCGAGACGCCGAUGGAAACCAUGUGGCUAGAGUCCGGAAGAGGAGAGUGGAAUUCCUGGUGUAGCGGUGAAAUGCGCAGAUAUCAGGAAGAACACCCGUGGCUAAGGCGGCUCUCUAGUACGGUACUGACGCUGAGACGCGAAAGCGUGGGGAGCAAACAGG
rnacentral:rRNA from 1 species